rnacentral:lncRNA from 1 species
AAUGGACUAUAAUGCUCAAUAAAAAUAAUUUAAUACCCUAACCUCCAAGACUGAUAAUUGAAUACCUUUCUUCUCUUUUUUCUUUACUGUCAUACUUCUUCAAUCUUUUAUUUGUAGUGGUCAUAGCUGAUAGUAUUGUUAAACGGUUACAAUUAUGACUAUAGGUUUAUUUUCUCUAUUUAUAAUGACAAUGCACACCCCUUGUUUUCACAAUGUACUACAGUAACAUCAAUACGAUAUUCAAUAAUAUAGCAUGGUUUACACUUGUAGUCAUAGAACAACACACUUCACACAUCGACUUUAACACAAUCUAGUUUAUUGAAAGGGUUUUCAUGAUAAAAGGUUGACAUUUUGGAGAAAAUCAAUUAGGGUCC